rnacentral:rRNA from 1 species
AGUCGUAACAAGGUUUCCGUAGGUGAACCUGCGGAAGGAUCAUUACAAAUCGUGGGAUGUCUCUCUUCACGGAGACGACAGCCCUUAUAUGUUCGGGGCAGCAAUGCUUCGUGACAUUUACGCUUGUAUGUUUGACAAAGUUAGAUGUGAUUUAAUAAAGACAACUUUUAACAAUGGAUCUCUUGGCUCUUGCAACGAUGAAGAACGCAGUAAAGUGCGAAAUGUAAUGCGAUUUGCAUGAAUCUGUGAGUCAUCGAAUCUUUGAACGCAACUUGCGCCCUAUUAGGGCAUGUCUGUUUGAGUACCGCAAUCUUUCUGCAGCAAUGCGAAUUGAUCAUGGCGUUGGGCCUUGAUUUAAAGUUAGAAUGCUUGUUCGAGCCUUAGGUUUGGAACUAUGUGCCAGAGACGCGAGUCUUCUCAUAGUCCAGUCCCAAGAUGCUAGGACCUAUAUUCUUUAUUUUGGUCUCAAAUCAGGCAAGACUACCCGCUGAACUUAAGCAUAUCAGUAAGCGGAGGAAAAGAAACUAACAAGGAUUCCCUCAGUAACGGCGAGUGAAGCGGGAAUAGCUCAAAUUUAAAAUCUCGACGGCCCCCGUCGCGAAUUGUAGUCUGAAGAAGGUUAUCUAUGGUGGUGUGGUAGACCAAGUCUCCUGGAAUGGAGCGCCAGAGAGGGUGAGAGCCCCGUAAAAUCUACAACACCAACUCAAGUGAGAACCUUUCUAAGAGUCGAGUUGUUUGGGAAUGCAGCUCAAAGUGGGUGGUAAAUCUCAUCUAAGGCUAAAUAUUGGCAAGAGACCGAUAGCGAACAAGUACCGUGAGGGAAAGAUGAAAAGCACCUUGAAAAGGGAGUUAAAUAGUACGUGAAAUUGUUAAAAGGGAAACGAUUGAGAUCAGUGUUGGAUUAGAGAUCAAACCGAUGCAUUGUGUCGGUAGCGUCUCUAGUCCGAGUCAACGCCAGUUGUAUCUGUCGAAUACGUACCCGAGGAAGGUGGAGCCUACUUCGGUCGGCUCUUUAUAGACUCGGGUGUCUGCGAUCGCCGCGACUGGAAGAGUAGUGACGCUGGUACUGAUCUGUCAAGUAGACAGCUAGACAGCAUGCUGACUAGUCGUUCAAUUGAUAGCGGGGUAUCAACUUAGCUAUUCGUCUUUGACGAAAUGGUCUUAAACGAC